GACGAACGCUGGCGGCGUGCUUAACACAUGCAAGUCGAACGGAGCGAAUGAAAGCUUGCUUUUAUAAGCUUAGUGGCAAACGGGUGAGUAACACGUAGACAACCUGCCGACAGGAUGGGGACAACAUUCCGAAAGGAAUGCUAAUACCGAAUGAAGCGGAGGAGAGGCAUCUCUCUUCCGUGAAAGAUGGCCUCUAUAUAUAAGCUAUCACCUGUUGAUGGGUCUGCGUCUGAUUAGCUGGUAGGUGAGGUAACGGCUCACCUAGGCGACGAUCAGUAGCCGGUCUGAGAGGAUGAACGGCCACAUUGGGACUGAGACACGGCCCAGACUCCUACGGGAGGCAGCAGUGGGGAAUCUUCCGCAAUGGGCGCAAGCCUGACGGAGCAACGCCGCGUGAGUGAAGAAGGUCUUCGGAUCGUAAAGCUCUGUUGAUGGGGACGAACGUGCCUAAUGCGAAUAGUUUUAGGCAAUGACG
rnacentral:rRNA from 1 species